UAGGGAAUCUUCGGCAAUGGACGAAAGUCUGACCGAGCAACGCCGCGUGAGUGAAGAAGGUUUUCGGAUCGUAAAACUCUGUUGUUAGAGAAGAACAAGGACGUUAGUAACUGAACGUCCCCUGACGGUAUCUAACCAGAAAGCCACGGCUAACUACGUGCCAGCAGCCGCGGUAAUACGUAGGUGGCAAGCGUUGUCCGGAUUUAUUGGGCGUAAAGCGAGCGCAGGCGGUUUCGUAAGUCUGAUGUGAAAGGCCCCGGCUCAACCGGGGAGGGGCAUUGGAAACUGGGAGACUUGAGUGCAGAAGAGGAGAGUGGAAUUCCAUGUGUAGGGGUGAAAUGCGUAGAUAUAUGGAGGAACACCAGUGGCGAAGGCGGCUCUCUGGUCUGUAACUGACGCUGAGGCUCGAAAGCGUGGGGAGCAAACAGG
rnacentral:rRNA from 1 species